UCCCGAAUUCUUCAGUGCCGUGGAAACUCGCGUGCCGGAACCAUUCUGGCGUAUUUUGGCAAAAACGUGGCGGAAAAACUUUCAUGAGUGUGUUGACAUUGAACGACGAAAUCGAGAAACGCGUGCGGCGUCGGAAGUAUUACGCGACAGUCAGUCAGUGUGUGAAACAAAACGGGAAACAACUUUGCUAAAAAGGACACAAACACACUCAGUAUGUCCGAGUCCGUCCCAUAAGUGAAAUUUAUUCAGUCACAGGCCGCCGGUUCAAAGCCGGAACGAAGCGUAAUCACAUGUUAUCUGGCCCAGUCUAUCUAAUAAUGCGAAGGGAUAACAAACACGAGACAGCGUCGUCGGCGUCGGGAGUUUGUGGUUGGUGGCCACAAACAGGACUUCGAGGAGGAAGUAAACGGAAACGCAAACCAAAAUCCGGUUACCGGGAAGUAAAAAGAGAUGUAUGGCUGGAUCCUCUUGGAGAGCACCGGAUAAACAGAAAGGACCAACAGCUUCAGAGAAACAAUUCACCCAGCGCUAUAAUAAUUUCAUUCACCUGAACCUCAUUGGAAUGUUUGGACACGCGUGAUAAAUUCACACUACAGCCAAAGUGCCGCACACUAUUCGGCGGUUGGGCUAUUGAUGAGGUCCCGUGCACUUUCCCGAACCAGUCGAGCCCGAAACGACCGACGAACCGGAAACGGUGGCACUACAACUUCCACCCACACACCUGCUGCUCCUGCAGUGCAUUCAACUGGCGGAUCAUCGCGGUGAUGUUACGAUUUCCGAGACUGGAACGUGGAGACGGUUAAAUCCAAUAUGAAAAUAAUUCACUAUUUAUGUUUGUUUUAUGCCCUGUUUAUUUAUUAAAAACAGUCUCCGUAAAAAUUGAGUGGUGCCAUACUCGGCAUCGAGCUGGGAUAUUGAUGAUUCAUUUAAAUAGCAACGAUGCAUCCAAAUUGAAUAGGAUUUAAUAAAUAGCUUGAUAUUUUUCAGUAAUACAAUAAAUAUAAUAGAUAUCAAAUAUUAGGCGAGAAAGCAAUUUCAUCAGUGGCCUAAUGUUAUUUCAUCAGCUGUUUUACUGUCCAUUCCUUUUACAUCCAAACAUUAAAUCUUAAAAGAGUCCAUCUAGGGGAAACUCCCGUAUGUUUGGCAAGUUAAGGACUCGCUUCUUACUCCAAGUUGCAAAUUCUCAUCGUUUCAACAAAUUGUUUUGUAAAUGAGUUUAUAGAAACUUGCUUGCUUACUUCUCACACCUUUUUGCCUUUCUUACUAAAGAAAGGUAUAGGUUUUACUUAAUGGCUGGACAUCAUUUUCAUGUU